UACCCAGCAAUGGGAUGCGAAUCUCGAAAGCCUGUCUCAGUUCGGAUUGGAGGCUGAAACCCGCCUCCAUGAAGUUGGAUUCGCUAGUAAUCGCGCAUCAGCCAUGGCGCGGUGAAUACGUUCCCGGGCCUUGUACACACCGCCCGUCAAGCCAUGGGAGCCGGGGGUGCCUGAAGUUCGUGACCGCAAGGAGCGACCUAGGGCAAAACUGGUGACUGGGGUGAAGUCGUAACAAGGUAUC
rnacentral:rRNA from 1 species